rnacentral:lncRNA from 1 species
UUUUUUUUUUUUUUUUUGCCUGGUCUCCCCUGAGCCUUCAACAACCCUGUAAGCCAGGCCUCAUUACAUUCAUUCCCCCUGCGUGGCCCGAGAGGUGGUCACAUUGUGUCCGCUUGCAAUCACCCAGCUUAGGAUACCAGGCAGCAGAGACUCCACCCACGCUCCACCCUCAGAGCCUUGAACCCUAACAUUUGUGAUGUAUCAAGAUAAGGAUCAUUUACCUUGAUUAUCCUGAUCAAAUCCACACGAUUCAGAACAGCUCCUCUGGGAGAGGCUGGGAAAGAAACAGAGGCUUCUACUUAGUGGAGACACCGCUCUGGGUUCCUGACUCAGGUUCUUCCUCUGUCCAUUGGGGACAACAGGGACCACCUCAGUGGGGCACUGAGAGGGUUAAACGGGGUCACGUAGGGAAAGUGCCUGCCCUCUCCCCACCCCAGCAGGCAAUGGGUGCUCAGCUCAGUACAACCAGAGGCUGUAGCUGAGUUAGCCACCCAGAAUCCACAGUGCUCCAGGAGGCUGUGUGUGUGUGUGUGUGUGUGUGUGUGUGCACAGAUGUGUGAGUAGAGACCCAGACGUGUGCAGGAGCAGCUGGUUAACUGUACUCUGCAUGUCCGUGUAAAAAGUCACCAUCAGGAAGGGCGUAUGGAUGCCCACACUAGGUUCUCCUGGGAGUCAAAAGUGUCUUGUGUCUUGUGUCUGGUUCCUGUGUCUGUUGUCCCCUUAGAGCCCCUUACUCCCACCAAGGUGGUCUUGGAGAAGGGUGGCAGAGAAGGAUCAGUACUGUGGACCUGCAAUCCAUUUUACUUCUCUGUUUUGUUCUUCAUUCUCUUUCAUUAUGUCAUCUUGCCACAUUACAAUGUCUCCUCUACAAGGGCACGGAUUUUUGUUUUCUUCAUUUUUCUUCAGCACUUGGAACAGUGCCAGGCACACAGUGGGCAUUCAGUGAAUAUCUGUGGACAGAUGAAUUGUUGUCAUCAUAGUUUGUAGUUCUGUUUAUUUGUUUACCUGGUUAUUAGUGGGGCCAAUGUCUGCCAGGAAGUGUCUAAGGAAGCUGGAGAGGACUGGAGAUGUCACCUGCUUCCUGUCCCCCAGCCCUUUCCCCAGGUGCCUCUCAGUUCACCUCUGCAUUAACUCAGCUGAGGGGCACAAAGGGCUAAGGCGAGUGCCAGACAUACAGGACACAGCCUCCAAGUGCUGCCUGUUAUUAUUACUGAGUCUGGGCACCCUACUCAGUGUCCUUGUGGCCAAGAAAAGGAUGGGCCUCCCACCCCACCUUCUCCUUCUCUCCCCAGCUGCUGCCACAGGCACCAUCCCUCAAUUCCGUGCACAGCACUCCCCUUUUCCCACUUCUGAGACUCACGGUGUCUACACCUGAUUGUCCCUCAGAACUCAGCUUCAAUGGCACCACCUCAAGGAGACCCUCAGGGCCCUGGCUGUGGAAGGUCCUCCCGAUUAUCUCUCUUAUGCCCCGUUCUCUUCUUUAACUGGUCUCCUGCUUCUGCCUUUGCAAUUCCCAACCCCACUUAUGUGCCCUGCUGCAUAAUGUGAGGGCCGGGAGCAUAACAAAGGCUUGACUUAUCCAUGAUCACAUCAAACUGAGGCCUGAGACAGAACAUUCUGUGAGGUCGCCUUGCUCACUGCAGAGGAGCUGACUCACACAGUUCUGUCCCUCACCCUUCUG